rnacentral:rRNA from 1 species
UCGAGCGGUAAGGCCCUUUCGGGGGUACACGAGCGGCGAACGGGUGAGUAACACGUGAGUAAUCUGCCCUUCACUUCGGGAUAAGCCUCGGAAACGGGGUCUAAUACCGGAUACGACACUUUUACGCAUGUAAUGGGUGUGGAAAGUUUUUUCGGUGGGGGAUGUGCUCGCGGCCUAUCAGCUUGUUGGUGGGGUAAUGGCCUACCAAGGCUUCGACGGGUAGCCGGCCUGAGAGGGUGACCGGCCACACUGGGACUGAGACACGGCCCAGACUCCUACGGGAGGCAGCAGUGGGGAAUAUUGGACAAUGGGCGGAAGCCUGAUCCAGCAACGCCGCGUGAGGGAUGACGGCCUUCGGGUUGUAAACCUCUUUCAGCGGGGACGAAGCGCAAGUGACGGUACCCGCAGAAGAAGCACCGGCCAACUACGUGCCAGCAGCCGCGGUAAUACGUAGGGUGCGAGCGUUGUCCGGAAUUAUUGGGCGUAAAGGGCUCGUAGGCGGUUUGUCGCGUCGGGAGUGAAAACGCCGGGCUUAACUCGGUGCUUGCUUUCGAUACGGGCAGACUAGAGGCAUGCAGGGGAGAACGGAAUUCCUGGUGUAGCGGUGAAAUGCGCAGAUAUCAGGAGGAACACCGGUGGCGAAGGCGGUUCUCUGGGCAUGUCCUGACGCUGAGGAGCGAAAGUGUGGGGA